rnacentral:rRNA from 1 species
GAUGAACGCUGGCGGCGUGCCUAAUACAUGCAAGUAGAACGCUGAAGGAGGAGCUUGCUCUUCUGGAUGAGUUGCGAACGGGUGAGUAACGCGUAGGUAACCUGCCUGGUAGCGGGGGAUAACUAUUGGAAACGAUAGCUAAUACCGCAUGACAACAGCUAUUGCAUGAUAACUGUUUAAAAGGGGCAACUGCUCCACUACCAGAUGGACCUGCGUUGUAUUAGCUAGUUGGUGAGGUAACGGCUCACCAAGGCGACGAUACAUAGCCGACCUGAGAGGGGGAUCGGCCACCCUGGGACGGUGACACGGCCCAGACUCCUACGGGAGGCAGCAGGAGGGAAUCUUCGGCAAUGGACGGAAGUCUGACCGAGCAACGCCGCGUGAGCGAAGAAGGUUGUCGGAUCGUAAAGCUCUGUUGUAAGAGAAGAACGAGUGUGAGAGUGGAAAGUUCACACUGUGACGGUAUCUUACCAGAAAGGGACGGCUAACUACGUG